CUGUGGGCCCCGGUAAAAUUGUCGAACUAAGUUGAGAUCGUUGAGGAAUUAAUUUACGAUCUCUGUAAUUAAUAAAGGUGUUCGAGAAUAUUUUUCAGAAUGUUUCAUAAGGUGAAAUCCUUGAUUUAAGAGUGUGAUAAUAAAGAACACGACACGACGAGUUCGUGGUAAUUUUCGGAGAUUUUUUCGGACAAGAGAGCUAUUUAUUAUGAAUUUCUGAAGUUGGAAAAUUAUAGAAAUUCAUUUUAAGUAAAGAGAAAACCCACGGUGCAAUCUGAGGCAUCCAAAUUCUCACCGCUUCAUCGUAGCCGUUGAAAUUCAAUUAAAGGGAGGCUAUAAAUAGGGCUGGAUCAGAUCGAACGUCCCAGAAUGAUCGAGAGGUCUCUGAGCUCUUCCACCCGGAUUCUCGACCCGGUAACCCGCAAAGGAGAUCUGACGGAAUCUCCCUCGUCCAGUCACGAAACGCUGACGGACCACCAGCGUUCGAACCGCUUCGACGUCGCUGACAUUCCUCUGGUAUCGGUUUGGUCAUUCGCCGACCUUGGAGCGAGAAUCGAUGUCGUGAAGCUCUGAGUUUCCCGGCUGUUCUUCGACGAGUUCCGGCGACGAAAUGAUCUGCAUGAUCGAUCCUCUCGGUGAGCUAUACGUACUGGUACACUUAGUUUUCAGUUUUGGAUGGGUUUUGACGAAUUGAUGUUUUGGUGGUUCGGGUACCGGCGGAGCCGCUGUCCUCCUUGGUCGUCCUUUGCUUCUGGGUUCGUCACCGACCUCCUGGAGCAGGGAUUGGCAUCUGGUGGAGCUCGAUUCCUUGAGUGGGUUGAAUUGGUGAGUUGUGGUAUAGGCUGCCACCGUGGUACCACCACUUGUGGUGGCAGUUUGAAUUUCCUUUUUGAUUUUGAGAGAGAUUGGGUUUUUGGUUUUCCGUGACGACGGGAAACUGAAACUUUAUUGGGUUGAGAAUCAAUAUAAGGAUUUCCAUUAAGUCAGAAUUGAGAAGGGUGGAGAGCGGUGGACGAUGAAGGUAAACAGAGAAGGAAACAGAAAGAGAGUAGAGAAUGUUCAGUUGCUUGGUCCAACAACGCAGCAGGAAGGAGUUUUAAAUAAAUAAUUUACCUUAGUGGGGAGAUCACUUUGGACAGUUAUUGUUGGACUUGAUUAUGUGUGGCAUGGGUAUAUUUUCAUUACUAGACUACUGUAUGUAUGUAAUGAUCAAUUGACAAGAGUUGUAAACUAGUUCUCUUUGUAAGGUGGAACUGAUAUCCUGAUUAAGCAAGUAGUGACAAAUGUUAAAAGGUCACGUUGCCUUUAAAGAAAUUGAAGUACCACGUUGU